ensembl:snoRNA
AGUUAAUUUCAAAGAGGGCUUGUGAGGCUGUGAAACCAAGAGCUCUUAACACUGUGACCAAAGAUGGAAGUUCUCUAUAGGAUGCCAUAGCGUUCGAUGGUGCUAUGUUUUCUUGAGGAGAUAUAAGA